rnacentral:lncRNA from 1 species
UUGAGACAGAGUCUCGCUCUGUCACCCAAGAUGGAGUACAAUGGCAAGAUCUCAGCUUACUGCAACAGAGUGAGACUCCAUCUAAAAAAUAAAAAUAAAAAAUAAAUUAAAUUUCUAUUCAGGAGGACUGGUUAGAGCAUAAUUUUUAUCAAAUAAAUAAGGAAAUCAAGACAGGAGAAAGGAACCAUGGAAAGGAGAUAAAAGUACCUGCCCCCCAAAUCUUUUGUUUUAAUGACCUGAGCUAAACUGCUAUUUUUUUCAAUUAAUUAUUUAUUAAGAGGAGUUAAAGACUUAUUCUUAAAGUUAUCUUGAUUCCAAAAGCAUUUCACAAACUGGCAGAGAUAAUCUAAUACAAUUAGGACAGAACACAAGAAAAUAGGUGUCAC